GACGAACGCUGGCGGCGUGCUUAACACAUGCAAGUCGAACGGUGAAGCGAGUGCUUGCACUCGUGGAUCAGUGGCGAACGGGUGAGUAACACGUGAGUAACCUGCCCAUCACUCUGGGAUAAGCACUGGAAACGGUGUCUAAUACUGGAUACGACCGACCCUUGCAUGGGGUGUUGGUGGAAAGAUUUAUCGGUGAUGGAUGGACUCGCGGCCUAUCAGCUUGUUGGCGGGGUAAUGGCCCACCAAGGCGACGACGGGUAGCCGGCCUGAGAGGGUGACCGGCCACACUGGGACUGAGACACGGCCCAGACUCCUACGGGAGGCAGCAGUGGGGAAUAUUGCACAAUGGGCGAAAGCCUGAUGCAGCGACGCCGCGUGAGGGAUGACGGCCUUCGGGUUGUAAACCUCUUUCAGCAGGGAAGAAGCGAAAGUGACGGUACCUGCAGAAGAAGCACCGGCUAACUACGUG
rnacentral:rRNA from 1 species